AGGGUCUGAGCAGGCUGCAGGCUGCCCUAACAACAGACCGCAGGCCAGGGCUCCAACAAUGGACAGUUACUGCUCCCAGUGCCGGGGCUGGACGCCCACGGCAGGAGCUGGCGCGGCCUGGCUCUGGUGAGAGCUCUUCUCCCGGCUGGCAGGUGGCUGCGUCCUCACCAUGUCCUCACAGGGCAGGCAGAGAGCGAAGGACUACUCUUUGGGGUCUCUUCUUGUAAGGGCGCUGAUCCCGCCAUGAGGACCGCACCCUCAGGACCUCAUCCAAUGCCUCAUCAACUCCCAAAGGCCCCGUCUCCAGACACCAUCACCGUGGGGCUCCAGCACGUGAAUUUCGGGGAACACAGGCUCCUUCUUCCUCUGCCCCCUCAUGGCUCAUGUCCUUCUCACUUGUAAAACGCAUUCUUUCUAUCCCAACAGACCCAAGAAUCUUAACUCUUUCCAGUAUCAACUCUGAAGUCCAAAGUCUUGUCUAAAGAGCAUCUAAAUCAGACAUGACAUUCUCAUUCCAAAAACGAUGGAAAAGAAAGAAGGGUUGACAGGUCCCAAACAAGCCUGAAGCUUCGCAAGGCAAAUUCCUUGAGACCUUAGGGCUGAGCCUGAAUCCGUGGGUCGGGGCCGGGCCUGGGAAUCUGCAAUCCUCACCUAAGUUCUCAAGAUCCCGUACCUCAGACUGCGGUCUGUGAGCAGCUACUUGGCCGCAGUCUGAACUUGUUGCUGGUGUGGACGCUCAGGCCCUACUUACAACCUACUGAAUAAGAAUCUGUAUUUAAACCUACGGUGUUUCUUCCUGGAGGAGGGCAUGGCAACCCACUCCAGCAUUCUUGCCUGGAGAAUCCCCAUGGCCAGAGGAGCCUGGCAGGCUACCGUCCGUGGGGUUGCAAAGGGUCAGACAGGACUGAGUGACUGAACACACACAGCAGGGCGUUUCGUGUGCUCAUUAAACCUUGAGAAGCUGUGCUCGAAGCAAUUCCCACUGAAAGAAUACAAAUACCACUUGGAAGGACUUCUCUGGAGGCUCAGUGGUAAAGAAUCUGCCUACCAAUGCAGGAGACGUGGGUCUGAUCCCUUGUCUGGGGAGAUCCCACCUGCCGCAGAGCAGCUAAGUCCGGGCACCGCCGCUACUGAGCCCACGCUCCAGAGC
ensembl:lncRNA